GACAGGAAUCUAAAACAUUCACAGACUCCAGGAUACCUUCCCAAUGCUACAUUGGGAUACUUACAUGCUGAGGGGAAGUAUCCAAGGGGCCACUAUGUUAACUCUAAUGGAAGUGGUGCUGAGCAGCCAGCCAUCUGUCGGCAGAUUAAUCCUGGCUGUGCUUAGAGAUAUUACCGGCUGGCUUAUCGCCGUGGCAACAAGCCUUCAAUCCCAGUCCAGCACAGCCACCAUGUGACCUUGCUGAGGAAGGUGGAUGGGGGGAGAGCAGAUAUUGCCAGCUGUGUCCGUGAGUGCAGAAGUCCCACCCACCUACUGUUUAAACCUUCUCUCUGAUGGGGGCUCUAACUGAACUAAAAAUUCUUACACAGACAUCAAUGUAUCCUCCUGUGAAAAAUCUUAAUACAAUAAAAUGCAAUUAAUGAGUUUUCAGUGGAACUUUUUGGCUUUUCACUGUAGGCACACAUUCAUCAGCCCAAUAGUGACUCCAUUAGGUGCCCUUAAUAAGCCAUGAGAGUGAGGAUGUAUACAGAAGUACCACCCAAGUGGAAUGAAGCAGUCAUUAACAAACCCAUCCUUUACCUACAGUGGCAAAUCAAAUGUGCUGUGAAAAUGCUCACUGCACUUUGGGUUCAGUGCAAUCUUUUUGCAAAUAUAUGAAAACUUAUGUCAGGUUCACUGUAAUUUGGGAUAUUUUAAAACUUCUUGUAG